rnacentral:rRNA from 1 species
CAGUAGCCGCGGUAAAACAGAGGGUGCGAGCGUUAAUCGGAAUUACUGGGCGUAAAGCGUGCGCAGGCGGUUCGUUAAGACAGAUGUGAAAUCCCCGGGCUUAACCUGGGAACUGCAUUUGUGACUGACGGGCUAGAGUAUGGCAGAGGGGGGUAGAAUUCCACGUGUAGCAGUGAAAUGCGUAGAGAUGUGGAGGAAUACCGAUGGCGAAGGCAGCCCCCUGGGCCAAUACUGACGCUCAUGCACGAAAGCGUGGGGAGCAAACAGGAUUAGAUACCCCAGUAGUCCCUGUCUCUUAUAC